CGUUUCCGUUCGUUGUACCGAGCAACAACAUCGAUUUCCACGACCGUAUAGAACACAUUCGCUGUCAGUAUGGUUCGACAACCAAAACCGCAGCUGUAAGUGGUGUCGUGCUCAGGAGUGUCCACCAGGUGCCUUCAGGAGCCGAGAGGAAUGUUAUGCUACAUGCGGCGAUCUUGCGUACAGCCCUUGCAUAAUGCCUAUUUCGCAUAUGAGUAGCACUUGUCGAAAUGCGAAGCCUCAAUUGCGUUUUGGAUACAACUAUACAAGUCAUAAAUGCCAACAAUUUUGGCACUCACCUUGUGGGGGAAAUCGAAACAAUUUUCAGACAGUAAAAGAAUGCAUGCAAACAUGCCAACCCAAUUCUAAAUGUAUGAAACCUAUCAAGACACCCCUCAGAGGACUAAUAUUCUCCCCUAAAUCCUUCGUAUUUGAUGUGGAGAAAAAUCAGUGCGUGAAGCAGAGAACAUUCCUGCCACAAAGCACUGGUCCUAAACAUAACAGGUUUAAGAAGAACGAAGAUUGCAUAAAUCAGUGCGUAGCAACCUUAGUCCGAGUAAUUAGGAACCAUUAAGAAUCAGAAGUGAAAUGAACAACAUUCACAAGCAUAAAACGGAACUUUA